AAGAACAAAGUAGCUGCUGUAUCUGCCCCCCAGCACCUGGAUCUGAGACUAGACUUAGCAAACAAUCAGCCUUCCCACUGCAGGCUGAAAGAUGGCAAACCCAACAAAGAUAGAAGUGGCCUGGGUCCGACAUGCACCUCACCAAGGAAAAGCUGUUCUUUAGUGACUGGGGAAGUUCACUGCCAUUUUCACCUUCACAGACUACACCAUAGAUGGAAAUACUGAAAAAUAUGUUUUUCUAAUUAUAUUAGCAAAGGUAUGGCUGUCUCACAGAUGAAAUUGUGUAGUGACAUAUUAAUUAAUUUCUCAUAUUCAG